GACCGCGUAGCUCAGUUGGCAGAGCAUUGGGCUAGUAUUCCAAAGGUCGUAGGUUCGAUUCCCACCGUGGAAUCG